rnacentral:lncRNA from 1 species
AAGUUUGCAUCUUGAUGACAAUUCCUGACAAGGCACAUACUGUAAGCAUACUGUACCCAAACUGCUCCAAGAGAUCUGACGCGUAUAAGUGAUCCGUAAUCAAUCACUAAUCAUCCAGUUUGAUAUUAUUCAGAGUAAGAGAUUCACUUGUUACUAACUAGUUGAUGCAAUACAAAAGGUAAGAGUAAUCUUUUGUGAAUGAAAGACUAAUUAUACAGAGGAUAUGCAGAGCCUGAGUUAUUGCAAACCCUAAGCGAAAUGGAACGGAAACAAGAAAGAGGGAGAGGGAUGGGGGAAGGAAAGCCCUUACUCCUUACUCAGCUGCUCGUGUCUCCGCCUCUGGAUUCGGAUAGCCUCUGCAGGCCCUGCCG